ACAUGCAAGUCGAGCGCGAAAGGGGGCAACCCCGAGUAGAGCGGCGAACGGGUGAGUAACGCGUGGGUAACCUGCCCUCGAGUGGGGAAUAACCCCGGGAAACUGGGGCUAAUACCGCAUGACAUCCCCGGCUCUUCCGAGCUGGGGAUCAAAGCCGGGGAUCGAAAGACCUGGCGCUUGAGGAGGGGCCCG
rnacentral:rRNA from 1 species